UUUAAAUGUUAAAUUUUAAUUAAAGUAGUAUUAGUUAUUAUCUUGAAAUUUAAAAAUUUUGGCGGUAUUUUAGUCUAUUCAGAGGAACCUGUUCUAUAAUUGAUAUUCCACGAAUAAAUUUACUUUAAUUAUUAAUUUAUAUAUCGUCGUUAUUAAUUAUUUUAAUAGAAUUUUAAUAAUUAAGAUUUUUUAUUUAAAAAUAAAUCAGAUCAAGGUGUAGUUUAUAUUAAAGAAGAAAUGGGUUACAAUAAAUUUAUUUAUUAUUGAAUAAUUUAUUUAAAUUGAUUAAGAAAGUGGAUUUGAUAGUAAUAAAAUUUAUAUUAAUUUUAUGAUUUUAGCUCUAAAAUGUGU
rnacentral:rRNA from 1 species